UACGGGGGGAGCAAGCGUUGUUCGGAUUUACUGGGCGUAAAGGGCGCGUAGGCGGCCUUCUAAGUCAGACGUGAAAUCCCUCGGCUCAACCGGGGAACUGCGUCUGAGACUGGAGGGCUUGAAUCCGGGAGAGGGAUGUGGAAUUCCAGGUGUAGCGGUGAAAUGCGUAGAUAUCUGGAGGAACACCGGUGGCGAAGGCGGCAUCCUGGACCGGUAUUGACGCUGAGGCGCGAAAGCCAGGGGAGCAAACGGGG
rnacentral:rRNA from 1 species